AGGAUUAUAUUUAAUAAUAAUAUCUGAUCUGCAAUCAGAAAGUGCUAUAUAUAAGGCUAAUCUUA
rnacentral:tRNA from 1 species